GUCCUUCCUUCCUCCGUUUCUCCGCGAGCUGCAGCGCCUGGGCUGGGGGCUCCCCUUGCAGGCAACGGGGCGCCGAGCGGAGCGCGUCCCGCAGUGCCUCCUCCCGCGCGCCAGGGGGGGCUCCCCGCCGCUGGGCCCUGCGGAGCCCCGGACGCGUCCUGCCCCGCGGAGCCCACCCGCUCCGGCGCGGGAGGGAGAGCUGCGGACAGAGAAAGCCCGGGCGCGAGUGUCGCUGUGGGGCAGCGGCGUGUAGCGCGGCCGCCCCCGAGGAGUUAGGCGGUGCUGGGCAAGUCCUCUUCGCUGCCUCGCCCCGCAUCUGCCAGGCGAACUGGUUUGCACCGAGAGUCGCCCCCCCCCCGAGAGAAGCGCCCAUGAGAGAGAGCAGCCUCUCCCUGCUGCCACCAGCCCCUCGGGCAGUUCAAGUGACUCAUACUAUAUCAUGAAAGUAUAAAGGUCUCCAGGCUGUAGCCAUAUUGGUCUCGAGGAAAAGGCAAUCGGGACUCGUCGGAGUUCAAAAAAUGUUUUUGCAAAAAUCUUGCUGAGUCCGGAUAAAAUUAUAAAUGGAUAGAUAAGUAUGAAUAUAUCAUAUCAAUUAGACAAUUAUAAAUGUAUAGUAAUAUAAGUAGAAAAAGUGAUAAAGGCAUGCAAUGAGAAAUAUACCAUCAAAAUGAUUAAAAAAAAAAAAGAAUCAAAUGAAGAAGAAUACAAGGUGAUUGCUGAGGGUCUGAAGCCGCCCGUCCCACCAGGUGACAGUAGGGGACACAUACUGCAAUCUCCGGGUACUCUGUCUUCGCUUCCUGAGGAAACGUGGGGAACGCUUCUAUGGAAAAGAAAUGGGUGUGAAGACAAGACGAAGAUUGCAGCGAGAGUCAGGGCACGGCAUAAUUAAGUCUGCCAGCGCCACCUUCGUUUGUCUCCCUGGUGCCUUUCCAUGCUGGUGCAGUCUUUAAUUACACAAGCGCACAGGGAUGCUUUUUUAUUAUUAUUAUUAUUAUUAUUCCACAGUAUCUCUGCCUCACUGCACUAUGUCCCAUGAAGAAGUCAGGGUUAUGCAGUGAAUGAUCCUGGGGGUCAUACAAGAGGUGCCUGCCUCACCUGUUGCGCAAGUUGGAAGCUGCUGAUGAAUGAGACAGAACAGCAGAAAGAAAAAAUGGGCAUGAAUUACCCAGGCGAAUGUCACUGGGAAUAAUCAGAUUCCAGUGGUGCCUCUACCGAAGAGAUAGGCAACGUUGGGCAAGUCAUUUCCACGGUGGCUGUUGUGCAUUCUUCAUUUUCUGGGCACGCGUCUUCAAUCCAGUUUGCAGGAGCGCUGAGUCUUCCCAACUGCAACUGAAGACAGUGGAAGCUGUGCUUUGAAUUUAUAAUGCAAUCUCUGUGUUCCAGAAAAAAAACAGGCUUAGACAUCCUCUCCCAAGGAGAAGUCCAGGCGUAAAAAUCAGCUACUGACUCCUGUGACCAACUACCUCCUUCGCAAUCCACUGAGUCAUGCUACUGUGCAUAUUGUAAAUAGGGAGAUGCAAGAACUACCAACAGCACAUUAUCUGAACUGUAAAACAAUAAGGUCAAGAUUGUAGAAGCAAGCAUAGAGUCAUAGAAAAGUAGGGCUGGAGGGGACCUCCGGAGGCCAUCUAGUCCAGACCCCUCUUCAAGGCAGGAUUUAACCUCAACUAAGAUAUCUUUCAAGAGCAUCUCUUCUACACCUGCUGAAUGACUGCUGAACAACUCAGCAAGAUAAGAAAAAGGAAGAAAAAGGACAAGAGAAGAUAUACUGAUCCAGGCUGCCCAGUGAGACUCAAGAAUGGUGGAAGUAUAUGCAUGAGCAAAGGCAUAAAAAAUGAUAGAAAAAAAAGAGAGGAAUUGAGAGAUGCAACAGGAUUUCUUGCAGCAGUAAAAAAAACAAAACAAAACAAAAAAAACAAAAAAAAAACAGACUUGGAUUUUAGAGUGCAUUAUUGAUCAGAGCAUGCUAGGCCAGCAAACUAGUAGCCACUAGACAGCGUAAAGAACAGUUCCUUUUGGAUAUAAUUUUUCCCUUCCUCCAGGUCUCCAGUUUUCCUAGCGUGAGUAUCUCUGGCAUUCAACUCCACUGGAUAAUAUGAAGAAAUGCUAUGAAUACAUAGCAGUAUUCCCACAAUACUGUCUGAUGUACUAUAUUGUAAGACAUAUUUGCAAAUUAUUGAGUUUCUGUUGUUAUGUAUUGUACAAUAUUAUCACUCCUAGCAGUGAAUUGUGAUGAUUUGGGGUAAAAUUCCCUGUUCCAUCCCAUACUCAAUUUUUUUUUGUACCACUGUUGUGCAUUACUGUCCUCCUUAAGGCUACUGUGUGCCAGCUUUUUGUACUUUGUGUUUUUGUAAGUGGUAUUAAUUCCUAGCUUGUGAAAAAUCAGAUAUUUUAAUCUAGAGUACAAAAAUGAAAAUUUCCAAAAUAAAUACCUUUUCUGCCUCCAAAAAUACAUUUAAUCAACCAAUUAUUGCACAUGCAGUACCACAAAGUAACAUAUAAUCUGGCUAUUGCAGACUGUCAAAGCGUGCCCUUAAGAUUUCCACAACCGCACAGCUCAUGUAGUAUCUCUGUCCUUGUCUCAGGUCGCUCCAAGUCAGCAAACAGCAGAGACACCUUGCUCCUCUACUUUGCCAACUGUGUGGUCUCACAGAUGGUAUGUAAAAUACAACAUGCAGCAAUAACCUCAGAUUUUUUUCCUCACUAAGAUCCAGACUUUUUAUGAGAUAUCCCUACCCACCCCUCAGUCUUCAAAAGGCAUACUCCACCAUUAUCUUGUAUUAGCUCAGCUAAUAGUUUAAAUGUCCUUCCAACUGUCCCUACUUUAUGUCCAGAUGCUGUAGUUCUGCAAAAGGAUCCCUAAUCCCAUCUUUAACCUGGACAAAGCAGUUCAACUAGUAGGUAUAGCUUCCAUAUUUAUGGCAGUAAGAUACGAUCAAAAGGAAAAUGUAUACAACCUCCCUACCUCCCCACGAAAACAAAGCAAUUAUUCGGUAAAACAGAAGGAUUUAUGGGAAUUUUACCCCAAACACCCCAGCUUCACUGAGAAGAGUGAUUUGUAUCAUAUAAAACAUGAAAGCAACCCACUAUACGCUUCCAUAACAUAGUACAUCUGACACUGUCAUGGGGAGACUAUGAUACCCACCCACAGUGCCACACACUCUUUGCUGAUACACUUUGUUAUGAGGAAAUGAACCAGUCAAGACAAUCAAAUGUGGAUGCUCUAUGCCAAAAAAGCUGAACAGGAGACAUAGAGAACAGUUGUUCACCUUCCUCUUUAUUCAACCACUCUUUUCAAAUCCCCCUUUUGUUAAAUUAUUGAUACAUUCCCAUCACUUUUCAUUGCUUGGUUUGUAUCACUGAUUCUGGAAACAUGCCAAUGAAUCAUACUGUUUAGUGAACACACAAGCAAACAAAGAGUUAUCAUUGUGUAGAAGUUAUUCUAUUCUAAGAAAAACAAUUCACCCAAUUACCUAAUGCCCAAAAGAAAUUUCUAAGGAGAUUUUCAUACAUAAACUUCUAACGGACAGGGAUUUCAAACUGCCAAGAUGUCACUUGAGGAAAAUCCAGUGUUUUAUAGAGAAGGUAUAUACUGGCAUUUAGCAUUUGGAAUUGAUGUGGCAGGAAAGUGAAUAAAGAAAUAUCUGCCACAUUUCCAUUCAAAGACUAAUCACAAUCUAAUAUGUUAGUAACUUCUUUACUAACAUGGAAUGGUAAAGUGUUGAGACUAAACUUUUGUACAUUUGAAUUCAGUUCUGCAAACUGUACAAUAUGUUUCAAAAGGUCAGCACAAACAAUAAUGUCUUGUAACUCAGUCUUCUGGAUACAACCCUCUUCUAGAUACAACCCAGCUAGACUAUUUUAUCAAAUAUAGUAAUGUGCCGCAUUGACCCGUUACCUUUGUGUGUUUUCUCUUUCAUUUAAUGACUUACAUUUAUCUUGCCCCUCUGUUUUGGAUUUGCUCCCAUUAUCAGGAACUGAACACCAAGAAAGGAGAUAAUAAAAAGAAAGGCCCAUUCACUACUUUCUAGAUAAGCUCAGUUUACAUAAGCAAGGCCUAACAGGAAAGGUCAAGACUUCCAUCAAAAUUCUGUAGAACUAAAGUAAAAAGUAGCAAUGCCAUGGCAGCUGUUCCCUACACCAUCUCUUCAUUCAUUCCUUCCUGUCUUUUCUCAUCUAAAUGAGGAAAUUAAAACUGAAAGAAAAAUAAUUCAGCAUUUGUAAUUUAAAAUAUAUUUUUCUCCUAAAAUAUGGUAAAAACAUACAAACAAUAAUGAUAUAUAUGUACAGUACAUUUUUGUUAUACUAUAUCUUUUGUGGGUAACCUAAGAAUGUUCAAUGUAUAAAAUAUAAGAGUA